GCGCCCAUGGUGAAAUGGAUAUCACUAGUGACUACGGAUCACUCGUUCGGGGUUCGAAUCCUCGUGGGCGCGCCA
rnacentral:tRNA from 1 species